rnacentral:rRNA from 1 species
AGAGUUUGAUUCUGGCUCAGGAUGAACGCUAGCUACAGGCUUAACACAUGCAAGUCGAGGGGCAGCAUUAGGUUAGCUUGCUAACCUGGAUGGCGACCGGCGCACGGGUGAGUAACGCGUAUCCAACUUCCCCCUGCUCAGGGAUAGCCCGGUGAAAACCGGAUUAAGACCUGAUGGUUUCACUAGAUGGCAUCUGACGGUGAAUAAAGGUUUCGGCAAGGGAUGGGGAUGCGUCUGAUUAGCUUGUUGGCGGGUAACGGCCACCAAGGCGACGAUCAGUAGGGGUUCUGAGAGGAAGGUCCCCCACAUUGGAACUGAGACACGGUCCAAACUCCUACGGGAGGCAGCAGUGAGGAAUAUUGGUCAAUGGGCGGAAGCCUGAACCAGCCAAGUAGCGUGCAGGAAGACGGCCCUAUGGGUUGUAAACUGCUUUUGUGCGGGAAUAAAGUCAGGGACGCGUCCCUGUUUGCAUGUACCGCAAGAAUAAGGACCGGCUAAUUCCGUGCCAGCCGCAGC